rnacentral:lncRNA from 1 species
CAAACCUCUUGAAGUUCUCGCAAGCGCUGCUACCUCCAUGCCCAAAUCGACUUCGCCUUCUGAAUAGACUUUCUAGGUUUUGUUUUUACUGUGUUUUCAUUUUCGCAUUUCAUUUUCGUUUCGAUUUAGAACCAAAGUACAAUUGAUAUAGAUCUUCAUCUUAAACCUAAUAAAUUGAUUGUAAUCUUUAAAGUCCAAAUCAAUUUUGAUUUUCACCUCAGAACAUGAAUCAAUUUUAUCCUCAAAACCACAAUCGACUUUCACCCUCAAAACCCAAUCGAUUUUGAUUUUCCCCACUGAAAAUGAUUUCCACACUCAAAAGCCAAAUCGAUUUGGAUUUUCUUUCACCACAAAAGUUUAAAUUGAUUUACCUGAUGACUUAUACGAAAUCGUUCUUAUUUUUGGUUCAGAAUCGACGAGAUUGAGAUCUGCUCUCUUUUCUCUUUUUGUUAUCUCUGGCCCCAACUCUGGUAAGCAACAAAACCCUUUUAUUUCUAAUUAUAUGAAUUGUAUCAUUUUUUAUAAUAUUUUUUUUAUUGAUUUGGAGUCUGAGUUUUUCCUUUUAUGUAUUUUACAAUUUUGAUUAGAAGUGUGAAGGGUAUAUUUUCAUAUUGAAUGUAGUUAUGGAAUAUGGUCAUGAUUAAUAAUGGUUCUUUUUUAAAGAAAUAAAAACUUUCAACGGAAAAAACAAUUGAACAUUUAAAUUACAAACUUUAGUUCAUCUAUUCUGAAAUUGCAGUACCAUGACUAAUUUUCUAUUCAUGGUGUUAGAACAGCGACUACUAUAUCAUUAAGUUUUACAUUAGACGAGUUUUACAAAUUUCGAGAGCAAAAUUUAAUUUAGGAUGUGAGUCUAAAGAUGAAGGAGCUUGAUGAUGGGUGGGGUGACCACACCAACUUGUUGAGGUAUAUUCAUUAUUAGAGCAAUUGGAUUUAUUAUACUUCAAAGUUACAAACCGACUUCACCACUUGUCCAUAGCUAUGAGUACAUAAUUUUUGUGCUUAACAAACCGAAUUCUUAUUUAUUUGAAGAAUAUUGUGUAUAAACUCCAUUCUUUCUGAUUAUUAUCAAAUUUUAAUUUAUGUAUUUCAUUACUUAAUUUAAAAAAUCUUGUGUAUAAUUUCAACUCUUGUUGGUUGAUGUACAAUAAAGUACUUUACCUGAAUUGAGAUCUUUAAUUGUGUGUCUUUAUAUAUAACAAAAUAAUUAAUCAGUUUUUGG